GAUAGAGGCGCGGCACUCAUCAGUAUCCAGGGCGUAAGACCCGGAGCCUGUUCAGCCAUGGAGAAAGGGUGUGCCGCCGAAGGGAUGCUGGUUUCCGGAGCGCAGCGUCACCUGGGCGUUGGGUUAAGAGCCCUUCGACUGUCACUUGAACU
rnacentral:ncRNA from 1 species